rnacentral:misc_RNA from 1 species
UUUCCGUUGGUGAACCAGCGGAGGGAUCAUUACCGAGUUUACAACUCCCAAACCCAAUGUGAAAGUUACCAACCUGUUGCCUCGGCGGGGUCACGCCCCGGGUGCGUCGCAGCCCCGGAACCAGGCGCCCGCCGGAGGAACCAACCAAACUCUUUCUGUAGUCCCCUCGCGGACGUUAAUUCUUACAGCUCUGAGCAAAAAUUCAAAAUGAAUCAAAACUUUCAACAACGGAUCUCUUGGUUCUG